AAUCAACGCUGGCGGCGUGCCUCAGACAUGCAAGUCGAACGAUUAAACUUUCCUUCGGGAAAGAUAUAAAGUGGCGCACGGGUGAGUAACACGUAAGUAAUCUACCUUCGGAUGGGGAAUAACAGUCGGAAACGACUGCUAAUACCGCAUAAUGCAGCGGCACCUAAUGGUGACAGUUGUUAAAGUAUUUAUACGUCUGAAGAGGAGCUUGCGGCAGAUUAGCUAGUUGGUAAGGAAUGGCUUACCAAGGCGACGAUCUGUAGCCGACCUGAGAGGGUGGUCGGUCACACUGACACUGAAUAACGGGUCAGACUCCUACGGGAGGCAGCAGUCGGGAAUUUUGGGCAAUGGGCGAAAGCCUGACCCAGCAACGCCGCGUGAAGGAUGAAGUCUUUCGGGAUGU
rnacentral:rRNA from 1 species